rnacentral:rRNA from 1 species
UACGGGGGGGGCAAGCGUUGUUCGGAAUUACUGGGCGUAAAGGGCGCGUAGGCGGCCUACUAAGUCGGACGUGAAAGCCCCGGGCUCAACCUGGGAAUUGCGAUGGAGACUGCAAGGCUUGAAUCUGGCAGAGGGGGGUAGAAUUCCACGUGUAGCAGUGAAAUGCGUAGAGAUGUGGAGGAACACCGAUGGCGAAGGCAGCCCCCUGGGUCAAGAUUGACGCUCAUGCACGAAAGCGUGGGGAGCAAACAGG